rnacentral:rRNA from 1 species
UACGUAGGUGGCAAGCGUUGUCCGGAUUUACUGGGCGUAAAGAGCGCGCAGGCGGUCAGAUAAGUCGAAUGUGAAAGCCCCCGGCUCAACUGGGGAGGGUCAUUCGAUACUGUUCGACUCGAAGGCAGGAGAGGGAAGUGGAAUUCCCGGUGUAGUGGUGAAAUGCGUAGAUAUCGGGAGGAACACCGGUGGCGAAGGCGGCAUCCUGGACCGGCAUUGACGCUAAAGCGCGAAAGCCAGGGGAGCAAACGGG